rnacentral:rRNA from 1 species
GACGAACGCUGGCGGCGUGCUUAACACAUGCAAGUCGAACGGAAAGGCCCUGCUUGCAGGGUACUCGAGUGGCGAACGGGUGAGUAACACGUGGGUGAUCUGCCCUGCACUUCGGGAUAAGCCUGGGAAACUGGGUCUAAUACCGGAUAGGAGCCAUUUUUAGUGUGAUGGUUGGAAAGUUUUUUCGGUGUAGGAUGAGCUCGCGGCCUAUCGGCUUGUUGGUGGGGUAAUGGCCUACCAAGGCGGCGACGGGUAGCCGGCCUGAGAGGGUGGACGGCCACAUUGGGACUGAGAUAAGGCCCAGACUCCUACGGGAGGCAGCAGUGGGGAAUAUUGCACAAUGGGCGCAAGCCUGAUGCAGCGACGCCGCGUGGGGGAUGACGGCCUUCGGGUUGUAAACUCCUUUCGCUAGGGACGAAGCUUUUUGUGACGGUACCUAGAUAAGAAGCACCGGCUAACUACGUG